rnacentral:rRNA from 1 species
UACGUAGGGAGCAAGCGUUGUCCGGAAUCAUUGGGCGUAAAGCGCGCGUAGGCGGCCUCAUAAGUCCGUUGUGAAAGUCAAAGGCUCAACCUUUGAAAGCCGAUGGAUACUGUGAGGCUAGAGUCCGGAAGAGGCGAGUGGAAUUCCUGGUGUAGCGGUGAAAUGCGCAGAUAUCAGGAAGAACACCCGUGGCGAAGGCGGUUCUCUGGGACGGUACUGACGCUGAGACGCGAAAGCGUGGGGAGCGAACAGG